rnacentral:rRNA from 1 species
AUACGGAGGAUCCGAGCGUUAUCCGGAUUUAUUGGGCGUAAAGGGCGUGUAGGCGGUCUUGCAAGUCAGAAGUGAAAUUCCUGAGCUCAACUCGGGCGCUGCUUCUGAAACUGCAGGACUUGAGUGCUGGAGGGGAUAGCGGAAUUCCUAGUGGAGCGGUAAAAUGCGCAGAUAUUAGGAAGAACACCGGUGGCGAAGGCGGCUAUCUGGACAGUAACGGACGCCGAGGCGCGAAAGCGUGGGGAGCAAACAGGAUUAGAUACCCUGGUAGUCCACGCCGUAAACGAUGAGUGCUAGGUGUUGGGGGUCAAACCUCGGUGCCGCAGUUAACACAUUAAGCACUCCGCCUGGGGAGUACGUGCGCAAGCAUGAAACUCAAAGGAAUUGACGGGG